UGCCAGCCGCCGCGGUAAUACGUAUGAGGCAAGCGUUGUUCGGAAUUAUUGGGCAUAAAGGGCAUCUAGGCGGGAUGUUAAGUCGGGUGUGAAAGGCCAGGGCUCAACCCUGGGACUGCACUCGAUACUGGCAUUCUUGAGUUCGGAAGAGGAAGGCGGAAUUCCUGGUGUAGCGGUGAAAUGCGUAGAUAUCAGGAAGAACACCGGUGGCGAAGGCGGCCUUCUGGUCUAGAACUGACGCUGAAGUGCGACAGCGUGGGGAGCGAACGGGAUUAGAUA
rnacentral:rRNA from 1 species